UCGAGUGGGGUAGUGGAAUAUGAUCAACAAGAAAAUGGUUAAUGGUGGCAGUGUUGAAUACUGGACAUGCAUAAACUUCUCACGUCUGCCUCCAGAUGCAGUUCAUACAUUUUUCCACGAACUGGUUGGCAUGUGUCGAAAUAUAGGAAUGACAUUCAGCCCCAAUCCAUUGGUGCCCAUCCGCGCAGAUCGCCCUAAUAGGAUUUUGAGAUGGCUCUGAUGGAUGUACACAAACAAGCCACUGCAAAACUACAAAGUGGAGAUAAGAAGAAACAUCUCCAAUUGCUUAUUAUCAUUUUACCUGACAUGAGUGGUUCAUAUGGAAAGAUAAAACGUGUUUGCGAAACGGAGUUGGGCAUAGUAUCGCAGUGUUGCCAACCAAGAUAGGCAUCCAAAGUCAAUAAACAGUAUCUUGAAAAUGUUGCCUUAAAAUUAAUGUCAAGGUUUGUGAUUCUUUCAAGUUGUUGAACUUUGAAUGUUUGAUGUGUUUCUUCUUUUGUUCUUUUGCCUCUUUUUAAGUAGCCUUUUAAGCAGCCACAACUUUCCUACAAGUGGCAAAUGCCAUAUCACAAAUUUGAC